GUCGCGGUAGCUCAGUGGUAGAGCGUUCGCCUCGCAACCGUGAGAGGUCGUGGGUUCGAGCCCCGCUCGUGUCA